UGAAAAUUGCUCUGCCCGAGGUUUGGUCCGAAUCAAACCGCCGUGUAGGGCCGGGCCCUGAGCGCACACCGGCUCGGCUCAGAGACCCACAGAUCUUUCCGAGAUUGAUUCGAAACGACUCGUUUGGACCGAUAGAUGGACGCGAGCAGGGUAUCGAAAUAAGAACGGAGAUUAUUUUAUUCAAGCUCAAAGCCUCCCGAGCACUGGGACAAAUCUCCACGGGGAAACACAAUUCUUUUCUACUUUGGCAGAGUGAAAUUAGACGCUUUAGAAAUCAGGGAACUGCGGUUUCAGAUCCACAGUGAUCCACUGGGAAGGUGGUUAUUACACGGCGCGACUCUCGCAGGGCGGCUUGCCUGUGUGGUGGAAGUUUCCCCGGCUACCGAGGAGGGAAAACAACUGCAAAUAAAAUAAAUCAUCAACAUCAUUUCUGCUCUGCCUGGGAUUUCCUGCCGGAUUCUCAUUCAAGUCACCUGCCUCGGAAUCAGAUCUUCCACCUUUUCUAGGCCAGGCAACAAAAGCGAAAUGGAAGGAGCCGAGGUGGGCCCAGGAGAGAGAUGCCGGCUCUGGGAUCGUGAGUACGUUCAAAUGGCCCUGCAGGUGUUUUUCGGUCUUUCCCCACCCUCCCCCUACGUCUUCCUUCCCGAGCUCUACCAUCUCUCUUCUGACUCUGCAGGAAAGUGAUUCCCCAUGCCCCUUGCCCUCUCUCUGCAGUCCCCCGUGUAGACAAGCCCCGAGAAAGGAAAGUGAUUCCGGAGAUCAGACCUGCAGCAGUUUCCGAGGACUGGAGGCGCGUCUCCCCCCCGGCCACCCUGUUAAUCUGUAACA